CAGGAAGUUGAAGCUUUUUCACCGGAAGUAAAGGGGUGUGUCUACGUGUAUAUGUGUUUUUUUUCCCUCUCUCCCUGCAUCUCUUGUAGGAACCACGAAGGCAGAAGGACGAAAAGAUAAUGGAGUUCCACAGCAGUGAGGAGGUCAACACUCAGUGGAAACCUCCCCUAGACUACACCACCAACACCACCACCAUAUCCAAAUCUGUCACUCAACGGGUAUCAGAGAGCAGCUCACACACAGAGGCGAGCGACACAGACGGGUUUCUGCCCUGUCAAUCAAAGUCUUUAGUGGAUAACGAGGAGUUCUCCAGCACAGAAACGAAUAACGAGCAGGAUUCGAGGAACGCUUACGGUCCCUUUUCCAGAUUACACAACAUUUAUUCCUCGGAAGACAGCGAUGAAGACGUGUGUGCCUCCAGACUGAGGAAGACUAAGAGUAUUGUGGCGGUGUUCACCUGAAACAUGCAUCAGAAGUGAAAAGAAAUCAGAACGUUUGUGGUGUUUGUACUUCCGAGCGGAUGACUCUCUUCUCAUCUCAUCCGUUUAAUGGUGGAGGAUGGUUUUAGGUGUAGUGAUGGGAGUUCCAGUUCUGUUCAGUGAUUCAGAUCAUUUGACUCAGCUCACCAAUGUGUCGACUCUUUUUGGAUCCCAAGUUUGCUAUAUUUUGACCGUUGGAUGAGUUAUUUACUGACGAGUCCAACGACUCUGCGUCAGACAGUGGAGAGGAUCUUCCUUCGAAACCCGGAGAUGAAAGCGACGGGAGCAGCUCGGACAUCAGCGAGUGCCCUCGACCGAGCGCGAGUACUCAUCGGGGGUCAAAGGUUGACGGUGUGGCUGUAAACAAGACGGAGAAAACCGAGGAUGGGAGGAGAGUGUAUAAUAAAAAGCACUACUGCCUGUUUUGCUCGAAACCUUUCAGCAAAAUCGCGAGACAUUUGGAAGACAUUCACUCAAAGGAAGAGGAAGUCUCGAAAGCGUGCAGUUUCCCAAAAGGUUCCAAACAGAGGAGGAUUUAUUUGGACGAGCUCCGUCUCAGAGGGAAUUACAUCCACAAUAUAGCCGUGCUGAAAUCAGGGAAAGGCGACUUGAUCCCGUAUAAACGGCCGCGAGGGGAAAUGAAAGCGAGUGACUUCAUGCACUGCCCGCACUGUCAGGGCUUGUUCACCAAAAAAGUCCUGUGGAGGCACAUGAAGGUGUGUAAACUGAGUCCUAAAGAUUACGUCCCCAAACCUGGGAAGAACCGCGCGCUCUCUCUGUGCGCCGCCACACAGCCGGUACCUCGCAACAUCAGUCCAGAGCUGUGGAAGAUUUUAAGCGUCAUGGUCUCAGAUGAAAUCACAGAAGCUGUAAAAAACGACAGCUGCAUCAUCCAAAUGGCGGAACACUGGCUCCGGAAGAGCGGAGAAUCUCCGAACAGUCAGUGCUUCAUCCGGCAGAAGUUACGAGAAUUAGGAAAACUGCUGCUCAGCGGCCGGAAAGUGACCUCUCUCAGGAAACUGGAGGAUUUUAUAGACCCGUACAACUGCAUGCAGGCGGUGGAAGCCGUGCGGCAUGCGUGCGAAUACAACAGCGAGAAAAACACCUACAAAAUUCCGUCCCUCGCUAAAAAACUGGCCAUUUGCCUGGCGCAGCUUAGUCGCCUCAUACGGACUAAAGUGGUGAUGCCGAAAAACGUGAAGCUGGCACGAAAACUGCAGAACUUCCAAAAAAUCCACGAGGAACGCUGGAACGACUUGUUGUGCGCCACGGUGUUGAGGAACUCCGAAGACGAGGAGGUGAAAUUUAAACCUCCGACGCUGCUGGCUUUCACAGAAGAUGUUCAGAAGCUCCAUGCGUUCCUGGACAAAGCACAGGACGAGUUCACGGCACAGUUGAUCCGCAGAGUCGUCCACUAAACACUGGUCGGAUUUGGCGAAAGUUGCUCUGACGCAGAUCAUUCUGUUCAACCGGAGCCGGGAAGCUGAAGUGGUGAGCAUGACACUGGAGACAUUUUUAUCCCGAGACAACACCGAUCCUGCCACAGACAUCGACUGGGCUCUGACCGAGGUCGAGAAACAACUCUGCCGCCAUUUUUACAAAAUCAUCAUUCGGCGAGACGGAGCGCGUCCCAUUCCCAUCUUACUGACUCUGAAAAUGCUACGCGCCCUGCAGCUGCUGGUGGAAAAGAGAGAAUCCUGUGGCGUGAUGAAGGACAACACUUACGUCUUCGCCCGGCCCUCUGCCUCGUCUCAUUUCCGGUGCUCGGACUGCGUUCGAGGCUUCGCGUUGAUUUGUGGAGCGAAGGAUCCUCAAGCGCUGACUUGUUGGAAAUUGCGGAAGCGAAUGGCAACGCUGUCCACGGUGCUGAAUCUCGGAGAUCCGGAAAUAAACCAGUUAGCAAGCUUUCUCGGACACGAGCUAAUCAUCCAGGAUGAGUUUUACCCCCUGCAUGAAAGGACACUACAGCUGGCAAAAGUGCACAAGGUGCUAACGGCAAUGGAGCAGGGACGAAUGAUGGAGUUCAUGGGCAAGAACUUCUCAGAUAUCGAUGUUCAACCGGAAGAGAAGGUUGAUCUGAGCAGCGACAAAGUAAAGAAUAGCUGGGAAUGUUCAGGCGUGUUUCCAGGCACUUGUCCAGGAAAAAAAGCAGCUCAGAAAAAGAGGAAACCGUGGAGCGGGCCUGAAAUCCAGGCCGUGGAAAAGCACAUGAAGGAUUACAUCACUUCCUGUCGAGUCCCAGGUAAAGCAGCGUGCGAAAACUGCUUAAGCGCCGAGCCUUUAAUGCUUAAAAAGAGAGACUGGCAGAGUGUCAAGUUCUACAUCUACAACCGCAUCAUGGCACAGAAGAGAGACGCCAGCCACAAAGUCUGAAAAGAUUUGUUUGAUUAUUUUUAAAUGUAAAAAAAAAAAACCCAUUAUGCUAAUGCGUUUAAUCUGCAGCAUUAAAACAUGUGCAAACUUCUUAAAUCUGUAUGUUACAUUAUCACAGGAGUCAUUACUUAGAGGACCAGGAAAGUGUUUUAGCAGAUCGAACUGAAAAAAUACAGAAAUAAAUCUAUAAAACAAACCUGACCACAGAUCACCAACUGUAGUUACAAGGCUAAUCUUUAUAAUUAACAUCACAGCUUCACACUAGGGGUUGACGAGUCACAUGUGUUGCUUGAUGUUUGUCUCUUGUGGGCCUGGACUGUCCAGCGUUUUUAGUUCUGCUGAGAAAUGUUAGUAGCUGUAUAUCACUUCUGAAGCUAGCUAAUUAAACACAAAUUAGCUAGCUCACUAAUCAGUUGUGUGAUUUAUUUGUUACGUGCUCAGCUUCAUUCUCAGAUUAGAUUAGCAAAGCUAACUACCUGCACUAGCUACGCACACUCACUUCCUUCCAAGCUUCAUUUUUCUUCCUAACGUUUGGAUUUGUUGCAUCUUUACAUCAUCAGAAAAUGAAGAAAACCUCACUUGAAAUGUCUCUUUGUUGUUUCAUGUUGCACACAUACGUAGAAAACUAACAAUUGCUUUGUCGCUCGCCAUCAGCUCGAGCGGAGUCCAUUAAAUUUUUUUCCUCAACCGCAAGCACACCUUUUACUUCUAAUCUACAGGCUUCUACCUUUCUUUUUUUAACCUCUAGACCAAUCAGGCAAACGAGUAAAAACAAACAUGGAUGCUGAUCUUCCAGUGUAGCUAAAAAUAAUGUGUUUCUGAGACGUUACGUGACACAACAUCGCACAAACAACUCCAAUUCAAACAACCUCCUCCUUAUCUAUACCAAUCUACAUUUAAUCCGAGAAUGAUAAAUCUAGUCUAGAGAAAAAGCUAGGGUACACCGUUAGCUAGUAAUCGCAGUGUCUGGUUAAGAGUGUUGUCAAGGUUACAGUGUGAAAGCAGAUGAAAUGAACUGCAGUGUUGUAUCUCCGCUUUAGCACUCAUGCUGUGCGUCAUUGUGUAUUAUCAUCAUCAUUAUUAUUAUUAUUAUUAUUAUUAUUAUAACAAGUAAGUCUUAUUGAUCCACAGUACAUUCAAAACCCUGCAUCUUUUCCCCUAACUCUUUAUGCAACUGAACUCUCCGAUUUAAAUUCUGUCUUAUGAUUUUGUGGGUAAAGUGAAUAAUAAAAUUGUAGCGUUGUUACUUCGUUAAGGCGUAACCAUUCACCCUCAUGUCAGAUUUGUGUCAAUAAAGCGAUAUGACUAGCUGUAGCUGUGGCUGUACGUGUGGAUGUAAAGAAACUUUUUCACACUUUAUUAUCAUGGUAUUAUCACACCGCAUUAAAAUCAACACCAUGUUUAAAGCUGGACUGCAUGAUUUCUGUUUGUUUAUGUAACACCACCAUGUUUCAGGUUUUAAUAAUAAAU
ensembl:lncRNA